GUAGGUGUUGCAUCCCUGAAGUUGUUCUGCGGUGUAUGCAGGUCUGUGUGUCGCUUGUCGGGUCUGGUAGUCCACCUAAUACCCAUGAUGAGUUGAUCAACCUUGUCACAAAUCCUGAAACAGGGUUCAUUCGUCUCUUCAGUCAGCAUCAAUUGCAGGUAUUACUGUUUGGCUUGUACCCUUUAUGCACAGGAAAAGAGAUAAUAGAGUUUUCCUACAGCUGAAUGACUGUUAGGUUGGACAAAGUCUCAUCAGUUCUCAUGCAUACACCAUUUGUAGCAUUAAUAUAGUUGUAGGAUUUGUAGCAUUAAUAUAUUUGUUGUCUUAGUCUUUUGAUAAAGUAGAUCUGUGGUCUUGUUAGUCGGUUAAUUUGAUUUGUUGGGCAAUAAUUAGAUCUUGCUACUAAAGUUGAAGCUACUUUUCAUACAAGAGUUUUUGUUAUUUGAGAGGGAAUAUACAAUAUACAAAAUGGAACUUGAGGAGGAGCCAACCGCUUGAUUUGAGGAGCUUAAAUACUUGACAGGCUUGUUUCAAUUUAAGUUAUGGUAUAUAUUUUUGUAGUCUAUCAAAAUUAGGUUCUUUUUUUGAUGGUUGUUACCUAUUAUAUUGUUACAUUAAAAUACAAUAUUUGUUUUGAUUAUUAUUUAAAAGUUGAAUAUAUC